rnacentral:sRNA from 1 species
CAGUUGCCUGCGUGAGGGAUUGAAGUGGGGCUUUUUUUUGAGGCGUUUUUCAGCCUCAAAAAAAGCGGGAACGAAAAACCCGACCCGUA